ACAUGCCUACAACAUAGUUUUAAUGCACCAGAUCCAAUUAGAACUCCACAGUUAAGCGUGCUUAGGCUAGAGUAGUACUGGGAUGGGUGACCACCCGAGAAUUCCUAGUGUUUUACAUGCC
rnacentral:rRNA from 1 species